rnacentral:lncRNA from 1 species
CACUGGACUCCUGGUGGUGUCCCCACUUGUCAUGUGAAGUGUUGUCCAAAGUUGAGUCUGGUUGCACACUUGCUUGCUUCCAUGUGGGCCCAAGGAUCCAUGUGCUAAGUGUUUGAACUGUUGAGGGCAAGCACACUUGGAUCCAAGGGUUGGGAUUGACUCCUUGGGUUCAUGCCAUGGAGGGGAUCCCCUGGUGGGCCCAAACCUCGGUCGGCCGACCGAGGUUAUGGGGCCCAUAUGGCUCAUUUCCUUCUUCCCUGCAUUGAACAAGCUAAGAGUACAAGUGGAACUUUAUUAGUGAUAAAUAUGUUCAUGUGAUGCUUAUCUUCCUUCAAUCGAGGACUGUUGAUGGGCUUUUGAGUAUAUAGAACUAGGUCUUAUUUCCCGUCAACAAGAACCCCCACACUUAAGUCUUUGCUCGUCCUCGAGCAAAGGUUAGAGAAAGAUAACCUAUGAUUAUGACACUUUUAAGAUAUGAGCAAACACAAAGACUACUCAAGACAUAUCUUAUACAAGUGGGUUAUGUGGCACUGUCUAACAUAUAUCCUUAGGAUGUUGAAAAAUGGAACAAUUCUCAAAGCAAAGUCAUCUUCCCAUUUUCAUAUCCUUAGUACUUAGAGUUUUUGAUAAAUGUUUUAAAAGAAAGCACAUUGUUCAUCCUUACCCCUCUAACAGUAUUCUCAAGUCACUCAGUAAGUAUAGGAUUCCUCACCAAGGCAUAGCAUAAGAUUGCCUUCUUUUGUUUCAUCCUACAUCUAUUAGGCUUAUGGGGCCCAGGUAGGGGGAAACAAGAUAGAAUACUUUCAUUGUAUCUAUUGUAAAGUCAAAACAAGGAUCCAAGGAGAAGAAUGUCAUAAUCCUAUAUCAAGAUGUGUAAGUGUGUGAAAAAUGAUUAGAAUAGAAUGCUCCUAUAUUUGAUAAGAUCUCUCUCUCUAUUUUAUUUGAGACAUGGCUAGCUUUUUUAUUUUUUUUUCUUUUCUCUCUUUUUUUCAAAAGCAAUGGACCUUCAUGUGCCCACUUUUUUUACUAAGCAUAGCCUUUGUGUCUCAUCUUAUAACCAAUACUUAGAGAGAGAUAUUCUAAACCUUAAAACAUGGAGCAUCUAUAUAGUGGAAAUACAUGGCAUGUUUUUUGCAUACUUCAAAUGUAGAAGCAGCAUAUAUAUGUGGUGUGUGUGUGAUCUUGAUCUUGGGACUAUGACAUAAUUCUCAACUAGGGUUACAAGGUUUGACUAAAGUCAAUACAAGUACAAGUAGCAUAUAUAGAAGGGUUUUGAAUAAGGUAUGAGCAUAUAUGGCUGUGGUAGGAAUUCUCUUACUAUUGAGGAGUAAGUGACACUAUGGUUUUGUUGACAGUCCUUAAUGCUAACAUUUAACCGUCAACUAACCAUGGAAAAGGACCUAUAUGCAACCAACAUCCAAAAUUAGGGUUUCAUGUGACAAAAUUCCAUGAGUUUUGGUGUUUGUCUAUUUCUACAGGGGGUUAUCAGGAAAUAAGGAGGAAAGGCCCACACGUCGGGUUUACAUAGAGAUAUUAACGUGUGCGGCAAUUUUCUAUCAUCUAGAAGACUCCAGAAGCCACGGGAACGAAGCGGAGGCAGAACGGGGCCUGGCCUAGGGCGCCCGCCCUAGGGACCAGGGCGCCCGCCCUCCUGUAGUGCCCAAUCAGGGUCAACUUUGCGGAUCAUGCUCCACCGACCUAAGGGAUCAAGGAAAACCGUGUGAUUAAUGUCGGUUUGAUCUGACGGCCCACAUUCAUUUGGAAGGACUAUAUAAGCAGACCCCCUGGCCCCUGGAGAACAUACCUCUUCUACAGAAUCAAAGCUAGGGUUUCAAUUAUUCAUCCAAGUAGAGAGGAUCCCUCUAGUUCAUCUAGUUCUAGUUCUAGUUCUUCUAGUUCUAGUUCUAGUUAGUUCUAGUUGUAAUCUAGAAAAUAGGGAGAGAGAAGAGGAGAGCGGAGGAGGAGUCGGAUCUGUCGGAUCUUCCUCAACAUUGUACUUUUGCAGCAACUGGUUCGUUCUUCAUCGUUCUCUAAGUUCUUCAAUUCAUAAUUCCUGAGUUCCUUAAUUACUUUUAUUUACAUUCAAGUUAUUUACUAGAUUCCUGCUUGCAUCAAGUGCUCUAGUCUUUAUAACGCUAGAGUAGUAAUUAAUAGAUUAGACGUGGUGUUUAGUCUUGCAAUUACCUGGAAUUGCACCCAAUCCUGCGGAUUGUUGUGGUAGCCCUAGGGUAGUGACAGCCCUAACGGUCGACGUAUCCCACCUCGUUCGGAUCGGUGUUUGUAGGACCGUAGUCAGAGCUUCCUAGCGCUCUUCUGAUCUCUUUCUGUGGUUAGUGUUCUGAUGUCCCGAAAUAAAUAAUCUUUGAAGUAAUUCUUGAUUCUUAGAUCAACUAGAGAACUCUCAGGAAACUUCCUCUCUUUCCACCAAAAAUAAUUAUAUAGUUAUCCUUGGGCGAUCUUGAAUCUUAAUUAGUACACUCAUGUUCCCUAUGGAAAAUCGAUACUCUGGAAUACUCCUGGGUGAAAGCUACAUUGGUAUCCGUGCGCAUGCGGAUUUUUCUGUUUGCGUUUAAAAUACCAAACAAGCUUUCUAGCGCCGUUGCCGGGGAACGGUAGCUGUGCUAGUUUCGAACCAAGUCGUCCGUGUAUCCUUUUUCUUUUCCUUUUUUACCAC